UGGGAGGCAGAUACCCAGGCAGACCUGAGCACUGAUCUGUCUGUCACCAGUCCUCCCGACAUCAUCCAUGCUCUCUGAUGACUGUGGAGACCUGAGGGAAAUCUCCACAGACAGAUACGGAGCAGACAAUA